CCUACGGGUGGCAGCAGUGAGGAAUAUUGGUCAAUGGGCGAGAGCCUGAACCAGCCAAGUCGCGUGAGGGAGUACUGCCCUAUGGGUUGUAAACCUCUUUUGUCGGGGAGCAAAAGCUGGACGUGUCCGGCUGUGAGAGUACCCGAAGAAAAAGCAUCGGCUAACUCCGUGCCAGCAGCCGCGGUAAUACGGAGGAUGCGAGCGUUAUCCGGAUUUAUUGGGUGUAAAGGGUGCGCAGGCGGAUUUUUAAGUCAGCGGUAAAAUCGUGGGGCUCAACCCCAUCCAGCCGUUGAAACUGGGGAUCUAGAGUGUGCGAGAGGUAUGCGGAAUGCGUGGUGUAGCGGUGAAAUGCAUAGAUAUCACGCAGAACCCCGAUUGCGAAGGCAGCAUACCGGUGCACAACUGACGCUCAGGCACGAAAGCGUGGGUAUCGAACAGGAUUAGAUACCCUAGUAGUC
rnacentral:rRNA from 1 species